GAAGGAUGAGAAGCUUCGACUAAGGUUCGAUUCGAGCGUCAGCGAGAAAGCGUUGCCGCAGGCAACGACCCGAAGGGCGAAACGCGCAGCGCUGAGUCAUCCUUCCCCCACCACCA
rnacentral:sRNA from 1 species